GGUUCCAUGGUGUAGAGGUUAUCACAGCAGAUUCUGAGACGAGGAUUCUGCUAACCCCGGUUCGAGUCCGGGUGGGACCU